UACGAAGGGGGCUAGCGUUGCUCGGAAUCACUGGGCGUAAAGGGUGCGUAGGCGGGUCUUUAAGUCAGGGGUGAAAUCCUGGAGCUCAACUCCAGAACUGCCUUUGAUACUGAAGAUCUUGAGUUCGGGAGAGGUGAGUGGAACUGCGAGUGUAGAGGUGAAAUUCGUAGAUAUUCGCAAGAACACCAGUGGCGGAGGCGGCUCACUGGCCCGAUACUGACGCUGAGGCACGAAAGCGAUGGGGAGCAAACAGG
rnacentral:rRNA from 1 species